GGCCAGAUGGUGUAGUGGUAACAUCUCUGAGCGCAAAUCAGGAUACAUUCCCUAAGGUCCCUGGUUCAAUUCCAGGUCUGGUCA
rnacentral:tRNA from 1 species